UUAAAGGAGCUGGGCAGGUAGUUUUUUUGUUUAGCCUUCUUCUGUAAAUCACAUGCAGCAGUGAGUAAAACAAUUAUGGAAAGCCUUCACUGGCCUUUAGCAUCAGUUGCUAUAUGUUUGUAUUUAUCCAGAUGGAAGUGUGUAGGAAUCUGGUUGGUGUUCCAAUGAAUCACAUUUUCCCAGUCAAAAACUACCAUGAGGAGAUGGACACAAAUGAUGUCAUGGACGCUCUGAUACUCAAGGCACUUGAUCAAAUUGUGAACAUCGCCUGGCCUCUUGCCAUGUUGACGAAUCCGAGGAGUGUUCAUCUCGAUUCAGUGGAUUAAAUAUAACGGAAAAGUUCAAACCUGCAGAUGAACCUUCUCCAGUUCCAGGCAAGUUUAGUGAGCAAUAAGACUUUUUAGCCUUAUGUCUUUUAGAUGAUGUUUAAUAUUUUAAUUUUACGCUUGUAUGAGAGUUAGUCUGUGGCAGGAAUGUGUUAGGGAUAAAUAUUCAUCAAUAAACAAUUCAUUUAAAAUGUAUAUUUGGAUACUGUUUCUAUGAGAUUUCUAUGGGCCUUUGGGAAAAUGUCUACUGUUAAAUGUGCUAUACAACUACAACUGAAUUAAACUGAAUGUCUAAUUCACAAGGAAGUGAUGUGACUUGACUAAAACCUUGGAGCACAUUUAGCAAUUUCAGAUGUAACAUCUAUGUUGGCUUUAUUUCAUAAAUUUUUAUAAAUGAAAAAAAUAUAUAAUCUGUGUAACCUUUGGUUUGUUUUUUAGAAUUUAAAAAGCCGUGGAGGAAAAUGCUUUGGGAUAAGAAAGACACUUUAGAAGAGAAACUGAGGAACUUUCAGCUCAGCUCUCCUGGAGUUAAGUUUGUCAGGAUUCUUGUCAUUGGUGAAAUUGGAGCAGGAAAGUCCAGCUUUAUAAAUUCUGUUAAUAGUGUAUUCCAAAAUCGAAUCACCUGUGAGGCUCUGGCUGAUUCAACAUCUGGAACCAGUUUCACAAAAACU